AGGGCAGUAGCUCAGUGGUAGAGCUCAUGUUUCAUACGCGGGAAGACCUGGGUUCGAUUCUUGGCUGCCUUC
rnacentral:tRNA from 1 species